UACGGAGGGUGCGAGCGUUGUCCGGAAUCACUGGGCGUAAAGGGCGCGUAGGCGGCUGGUGAAGGCUUGUGUGAAAGUCCGGGGCUCAACCCCCGGAUCGGCACGGGCGACUCGCUGGCUGGAGCCCACUAGAGGCGGGUGGAAUUCCGAGUGUAGCGGUGGAAUGCGUAGAGAUCCGGAAGAACACCGGUGGCGAAGGCGGCCCGCUGGGGGUGGAGCUGACGCUGAGGCGCGACAGCGUGGGGGAGCAAACAGG
rnacentral:rRNA from 1 species